CUCAUUUGCAUAACGUCAUUCUUCCGCCUCGCUGCAGCCAAUCGCAGCUCAGGAGCCUACUGGCUCGCAUUGCAGGGCCACGCUCCCUCAUUAACAUCCCUCUCCCGGCGGCUCCCGGGAGCCGGCCAAAGUUCCUCGUAAAGUGGCGAGCAAAGGAUCGCUGGGCUCCUGCGUUCAGCUGGGGAGCAGCGGGGCUGAGCAGGGCAGAGCCGGGCUGGAGAAGGGGGACAGAAGGAAAGGGAGGGAGAUAUUCUUCUUAAGGAUUUGAGCUAGGAUCCGCAUCCUGGCCGUUGCGGUCUGUUUAGCAUCCUCGCUGCACCCUGAGCGCGCUGGAGGCGCACAGGCUUCCCCUUCCCAAGGCGGAUGCCGCGUCCUGCUCCGCUGCUCUGGGACGUCGGGGGCAAAAGUGAAGGAGACGGGAGACCCCGGGCAGAAAAAGCAGGAUGCGCGUCCCAGGAAGUCGCGUCCCCGGAAGGGGCCACCUAUCCCGGGAAAGGUCCUCUUCCGUUUGCCGCUAGCCAGAGGCCGCCGAGAGUGAGACCGGAGGAAAGGCGCCUGCUUCAGUGCUGAGAAGAACGCAAAGGGAAAGAUGGGGACCAGGAAGGCCAAAGGCGCCAAGUCCCUCUGCACGCCGCCCGCGCCGAAGGCGUCGACUGGCAGCGUGGAGUGGCGGCCGCGGCUGGGCACAGGCCAGGGCGCUGCCCGCAGGAGGAGAGGGUUGGGGGUCGGAAGCAGCAGCGGGGAAGCCUUGGGAAAGUGAGGACUUGAAUGCAGCACAGCUCCACAGGGUCCCCUGAGCGGUACCCAGAUGCCGCAGGGCUGGCGGAGCAACAGAGUCCUGUGGCCCGCGGGCGAAAUCCUGCCCCUGCCCAGCCCCCCCACCCCACCCCAAGGUCUCUCUUCCCGCCGCCUUCUGGGAACUCGUAGGAGUCCCAGGACAAGGUUGCACGGGAAAUCUGUCUCUUCCUCCUCCGUGCUCUCAGCCAUCUCUGGCAAGUGGCAAAAAAAAAAAAAAAAAAAGGAAGCAUUUCCCCGACCUGAUCCCAGUUUUCGACCCCCGUCACCCAGCGCUGCGGAGAAGUUUCCCUUUGCUCGCCCUGUGUGACUGACACUUCCAGCCCCUGGGAGCGCACCUCGCCCUGUAGUGCAGACAGGGAAACCGAGGCCCAGGAAGUGACCAGGAUACCCACAGGCGGCUAAGACAUAGAGAGCAGGCAUACAACACCGUGGGGAUCAGUCUGGGGCUUAGGAGCCCCUAAAUCUGCCUAGGACGAGGGCUUGGGGCACGGUUCGAACACACCUUUCCCGGAGCGAGCCUGACGACUCUCUCGGGUUUCCCCUGGGCGGUCCCCAGAUAAUAAUAGAUCUCACUUGUUGAAGGCUUUACGGGCAUAAACUCACUGAAUUCCGACAACAGACCAAGAAGGCAGGUAAGAUCACUCCUCCCGUUUUACAGGUGAGGAAGCUGACGCCCUAUGGUUGAAAUGAAUCAACCUGUUUAAGACCACACUGCUAAUAAAGUCGCCGCGCCAAAAUCACUCCAGAGCCUGUGCCCUUAACCUUGGCUCCGAACCACUCGAUCAGCGGUUGCGCCCUUUUCCCGAAUUCGCUUGGUGCUUGCCCCCCAACAUUCAUAGAUCCCUUUAGCUCACAAGCCCCUGGGUAUCCCGAUGACAAAGGAGCUUGAGGGCAAGUUGCCUCCUGAGGGCAGGCAGCAGAUGGGAGAGGAGAGGGGAAAGGGUCGUGCAAAAUCCUAAUUAGAGGGCUGGAUGCGCAUCCUUGAGAUCCGGUGUAGACGCAUGACCCUUCUGGCCUCCUGGGAUAGGCUGCACCAGGGUCGCGUCAGCUCCAGCCCUGGCUCUGCCACAUUUUGCUACGUGAACUCCAGCCAUCCGCUUCUUCCACCGCUUGCUGAGGUCCCAGAGCUCCAGGCGCAGGCAAAGUCGCCUGGUUGAAACAGACUAAACACAAAGACUUUGCGGGGAUGCCUGCGACGCCCAUCAGAGGGCAGAAAUCUGGACAUCUGCGGAGGAGCUUUAAUGGAGGAAGACCAUAUACCCUUGGCAUUACCAUAAAUAGCUAAAAGCUAAAGUUAUUCUGAGCGGAGAGAAGAAUACAGUUAGGACACGGCGGAAAAGUAUCUCCUAAUCAACGGGUGUCGCAGGGCGCGACCGUACCUCACCCUAGCCCUUCCCCACCGCCCUCCAAACCGCACGAUUGGAAAAGAAUCAGGAAAGGGCCCUAGCUCUCCCCCUUGGCUGAAGGAGGCUCCAGGGUGGGAGAAGGGAGCUACAGGCUGUUUGUAAGUUAGCAUCCCUUCAGCAAGGCAAACCCGUAUGCAAGAACCUGAGGCCAGCGAAGAUUUGGAGGAGGAGGCCUGUUUGCUUGUGGGGAAGUGGGAGAACAGAGGUGCAGUUUAACACAGAAGCUUGAGUUGCCCAGGUUACAGUUCACUGGGUAUUUACACACGGCUCACCGCUGGAAGGUCUUUGUCAGCUACCGAGAUGCGUGUGAUGUGAGUGUGCAUCUAUUCCUGUGUGAUAGAAGAGUGGCUGCAUAUUUGUGCGCCCAUGCAGUUGGAGCCCGUGCCCGUGACAGCAAGCGCUUGGGUGCACGUGUGGGCAUGUGCUUGAGGAUUGUUGCACACUGGCGUGAGUACAUGUGUGUGUAAUGUGUCCGUGUCACGCAUCUUGUUUAUGUGAGUGGGCGUGCAUGUGCAGAAAUACGUGUGUGUGCGAGAGUAUUUUACACUAGUGGGUGGGCCUCCACUCACACGUGAAUCGUGUGUGUCCGUAUGUGCAAGUGAAAUGCAGCAAGGAAGUCCCUAAAAUCUCGGCUUGGGUCAAAAGCUAGGUGCAGGUAGAGCGCAGACUUAUCGCCCCAGGGCCGGCGUCAAAACUUGCUCCUUCCGCCUACAGGGAGCAGGGACCGCCUGCGGGGCGUGGGGCUCGCUCGGCCGCAGCAGGUUAGCUGUCAUCCCGGCUCAGGUCAGGCGAAGGGGGUUCCCACCGGGGCGCCACAGAUGACCGAGAUGAGGCUCGCAAUGAUCCCUGCUGGACAGUUCCGCGCCCUUAAUUGUUCCUUGCGGACAGUUUCUGAUAUAUUGAUGCCGUGUGUCCUAAAGGAGACCACUUCCGGGUUAUUUGCUUAGGCAUUUAUUAUCUUUAUCACUGUCAUUAUUUGACGGCUGUAUGAAAACGGUGCCAAACCCACCGACACAGCCUCCCUCUGCCUGCUGAAAGCCACCCUGGGCGUGAGACUCGCGGGUGCGCGAAUCUUCUCCUUUCGUGGAGCCACAGCGCCACCUUGCGAUACCCCAGCGUCCCACUUUGCAGGAGCCUCCAGACUCCCCGAACACGCCUGGCCCCCUACCUUGGUUCACGGGACUGGAAUGGCUACACCCGUUUCCACUCGGAGAAGCUCCGCUCCCUCCCCUUACAGUCACCGCCUCAAAGUGAACCUCUUUUGUGAAACUUCUACAAACUCCUUCUAGGCAUCAUUAGUGCCUUCCCUGAUUUCCCUAGUAUUCAUAUUACACUGGACAGGAAAUAUGAUUUAAAUGCCUCUCUCCCCUCCCCAGUCGGGAAUUCCCAACAAUGACUAUUGUUGUUUGGGCAUAAUCACAAUUAUAUGAUUGUCAUAUAGUAAUAACAAUACAAAUAAUAAUAAAACCUAGUGUGUAUUGAGUACAUACUAUAGAGCAUCUUAUGCAAUGUGCCCUACUAAGCACUUUCCUUUCAUUAUCUCAUUUAAUUUUCCCAGGAAAAAAUAUAUAUAAUAAUUUCCCAGGCUGCAGUCGAGGCUAGAGGGUUCCUGUGCAAGGUCACAUUGUAGAGCCCAACCCACAUCUGUAUGUCUGAUGCCACGGCCCACUUCUCUAAAGUUCUAGGCCUUGCAGACUUACUCAGCUCUGUAUCCACAGGCUAUAAGACAGGACCAGGCUGAGUGACCACCUGUAUACUUAUGAAUAAAUGAACCACUGCCAAUUUAAAUUCUUUCUUUCCUGACAGAAUUGGGCUAGAAAACUGCUCCAGUUAUCAGAUACCUUGAUUGAAAGGUUACCACAAAGAUUUAUCCCCAAAGAGUAUAUUCCAUUACCAACCAGCUGGGUGACCUUGGUCCAGUCACUUCAUCCUCAAUUUCCUCAUGUGUGAAAGUAGGUUUGCCAUGAGAAUUAA